rnacentral:rRNA from 1 species
AACGAACGCUGGCGGCAUGCCUAACACAUGCAAGUCGAACGAGACCUUCAGGUCUAUGCGCGCACGGGUUCGUAACGCGUGGGAACCGUCCCUUAUGGUCGAAAUAACUCUCCGAAAGGGGUAAUAAUACCGGAUAAUGUCUUCUGACCAAAGAUUUAUCGCCUUUGAAUGUUCCCGCGUUGGAGUAGCUAGUGCGGAGGGUAAAAGCCUACCAAGGCGACGAUCCAUAGCUGGUCUGAGAGGAUGAUCAGCCACACUGGGACUGAGACACGGCCCAGACUCCUCCGCGAAGCAGCAGUGGCGAAUAUUGGACAAUCGGCGAAAGCCUGAUCCAGCACUGACCCGUGAGCGAUGAAGGCCUUAGGGUUGUAAAGCUCUUUUACCUGGGAUGAUAAUGACAGUACCGGGAGAAUAAGCUCCGGCUAACUCCGUG